ACACCCUGCGCGUAAAGCGCACGCACGCGGUUAGGUGAGCCUGGAGCGACAUCUAUGAUCUCAACUCGUAAACUGCAUUGGGUACUGCUUGAUUUGAAUCACGGAGGGGAAACCGGAAUUCCCAGUGCAGGGGUGCCACCUGUAAAUAUUUGGAACAACACUGGAGGCGAAGGCGGGUUUCUGGCCGAUGAUUGACGCUCAUAUCCGAAGGUGCGGGGACCAAACAGG
rnacentral:rRNA from 1 species